AUUGAACGCUGGCGGCAGGCCUAACACAUGCAAGUCGAGCGGAUGAAGGGAGCUUGCUCCUGGAUUCAGCGGCGGACGGGUGAGUAAUGCCUAGGAAUCUGCCUGGUAGUGGGGGAUAACGUCCGGAAACGGGCGCUAAUACCGCAUACGUCCUGAGGGAGAAAGUGGGGGAUCUUCGGACCUCACGCUAUCAGAUGAGCCUAGGUCGGAUUAGCUAGUUGGUGGGUAAAGGCCUACCAAGGCGACGAUCCGUAACUGGUCUGAGAGGAUGAUCAGUCACACUGGAACUGAGACACGGUCCAGACUCCUACGGGAGGCAGCAGUGGGGAAUAUUGGACAAUGGGCGAAAGCCUGAUCCAGCCAUGCCGCGUGUGUGAAGAAGGUCUUCGGAUUGUAAAGCACUUUAAGUUGGGAGGAAGGGCAGUAAGUUAAUACCUUGCUGUUUGGACGUUACCAACAGAAUAAGCACCGGCUAACUUCGU
rnacentral:rRNA from 1 species